rnacentral:rRNA from 1 species
CAGUAGCCGCGGUAAUACGUAGGUGGCAAGCGUUGUCCGGAAUUAUUGGGCGUAAAGGGCUCGCAGGCGGUUUCUUAAGCCUGAUGUGAAAGCCCCCGGCUCAACCGGGGAGGGUCAUUGGAAACUGGGAAACUUGAGUGCAGAAGAGGAGAGUGGAAUCCCACGUGUAGCGGUGAAAUGCGUAGAGAUGUGGAGGAACACCAGUGGCGAAGGCGACUCUCUGGUCUGUAACUGACGCUGAGGAGCGAAAGCGUGGGGAGCGAACAGGAUUAGAUACCCCUGUAGUCCCUGUCUCUUAUAC